rnacentral:lncRNA from 1 species
AACUGUUUAUCGAUUAACUCCAACGCCUCUAACGAAAUUUGACAUAUUACAGCACUGAAAAUGUAGUUAGCCAUUUGUUUAUGGCGUGGAAUGUUUAGAGAUCUCUCGAACGAACGACUUCUGAAUGCCGCUGAAUUGAAUUCUUAGCAUCUUGAAAAUUUUAGCAAAGGAUGUAUCUCGCGAUGACAUGGUAUCCCCAGAUACAGCUUUAGCCUGGUAUAGGCAGACUCCGCACUGUUAUAAAAACAUGCACUAUGUUUAAAUAAGAAAAUUACAAAAAUUACUUUGCAAUAAAAUUAUUAUACCUUUGACUUGAAUUGCUUCCAAAAGGCAUGAAAGUAUU